GAUGAACGCUAGCUACAGGCUUAACACAUGCAAGUCGAGGGACCGGCGCACGGGUGAGUAACCCGUAUCCAUCCUUCCCUUUACUCGGGGAUAGCCUUUCGAAAGAACGAUUAAUACCCGAUAUAAUGGAUGGGGAUGCGUUCCAUUAGUUUGUUGGUUAGGGAACGGCUCACCAAGCCUUCGAUGGAUAGGGGUUCUGAGAGGAAGGGCCACGAGAGGGGAAAUGAGAAACGGGCCAAAAUCGUAGGGGAGGCAGGGGUGAGGAACAUUGGGGAAGGGGGGCUAGCCUGAACCAGCCAAGUAGCGUGAAGAAGGAAGGCUUAGGGGUCGUAAACUUCUGUGAUAUAAGAAGAUGUAUUAUAUGAAUAAGGAUCGGCUAACUCCGUGCCAGCAGCCGCGGUAAUAC
rnacentral:rRNA from 1 species